GGGAGUGUAGCUCAAUUGGUAGAGUACUGGUCUCCAAAACCAGAGAUUGUAGGUUCAAGUCCUAUCGCUCCUG
rnacentral:tRNA from 1 species